rnacentral:rRNA from 1 species
GACGAACGCUGGCGGCGUGCCUAACACAUGCAAGUCGAGCGAUGAAACCCUUCGGGGUGGAUUAGCGGCGGACGGGUGAGUAACACGUGGGUAACCUGCCUCAAAGAGGGGAAUAGCCUCCCGAAAGGGAGAUUAAUACCGCAUAAUAUGUUUUAAUCGCAUGAUUGAAACAUCAAAGGAUUUUCUUCGGAACUUCCACUUUGAGAUGGACCCGCGGCGCAUUAGCUAGUUGGUGAGGUAACGGCCCACCAAGGCAACGAUGCGUAGCCGACCUGAGAGGGUGAUCGGCCACAUUGGAACUGAGACACGGCCCAGACUCCUACGGGAGGCAGCAGUAGGGAAUCUUCCGCAAUGGACGAAAGUCUGACGGAGCAACGCCGCGUGAGCGAAGAAGGCCUUCGGGUCGUAAAGCUCUGUUGUUAGGGAAGAACAAGUACGAGAGUAACUGCUCGUAC